ensembl:lncRNA
ACGAUAACGACGACAAGGGUCUCCCGAUCGUUUACUCUUGCUGUCCUGUGAACAACAACGGCGUGGUGUUACUUGUUUGCUGUUUUCGCGAUCGCGUCGCGCAUGAGGAUAUCACCAGGAGCUCCUGAAACGCAAGACUGCCACACAUCUGUUCGACCAACGCCAGUUGAUCUAAACGCCAGUUGAUCUGGAACACCGGCACGACUUUCUGGUGUUAUACACUGUCCUGGCGUUGCAGAUCUAGGGGUUCCAGUUAAGACGUGGUCAGCCUUCUAAAGAAAGUGGGAAUCUCACCGAAAUAUUCAGUUACUUUGCUGUGUUUCUUGCCAGGACAAAGGCUCAAACCAUCAUCUUUUCCUGGUAUCGAAUACCAAGGGACCUUCUGAAGUAAGCUUUAACAAGUAAGCUUGAAUUGAGUAAUUCAGAAUCAUGAAUCAUGCUGACUGCAAAUGAAAAGUAUGAAUUGACAUGAAGGAUUUUCAGGAGCCGAUUUAGACUUGGGACUACAUUACGACAAAGCACUGCUGUAAGCCUCCACAUGGUUAUAACACAGCAGUUGAAGCCACUGCCGACCAGUGUCUAUAAACCAACAUGCUAUUUGUGCAAUAUUUCUUCAACAAAUCAAAGACCCAUCCAUUGUUACUGCAGCUUACUAUGCUUGUAUAGUAGUGGCUGUGUGUGUUUGUUUAUGGAAGCUGGAGGCUUUUUCAACUGUUGCGUUAUAUCCAUGCACCAUGCAGUGGAUGUUUACAGCGGUGUUUGUCGUAACUGCAAUGUAGUCUCAAGUCUAAAUCAGCUUCUGCAAAUCUUCCGUGUUACUUUUGCACUUUUCAUUUGCCGUGAACAUGAUUACUGAGCUCCCAAGAAAUAUUUGUUUUCAUUACUGAGUCAUUUUAAUCACUUUUGCACACAACAUGCUAGCACCUGCUAUUCACUUACAUUGUUUAUGCUCUGCUAAAGCAAAUGGAUUGCUUCCGGAUCAGGAGAAUUAGUGUGCUGUUUACAAAAGGCUUGUUUCUCACUUUCUAACUGUGACAAUAUGGCAAUAGAUAAAAUUUCACUUAGAAGUGGAAUAACCCUUAAAAAUGAUUUAUUAGAUUUUCUUUUCAAAGUGGAAAAACAAAACUGUGAAAAACAAGACAUUUUUUAUUUUAAACGUUGGAUUAUGGUUUAAUUUAGCUUUUAAAAAUUACAGAAUGACAAAGUAAAAUCACUGAAAAACACAAAAGACAACCUGUUUUAGCUUAUUUUCCUACCUGUAGUAGUUCAUUCCCUUAUGCACGUCAUCCUGAAGUGCUUGAGCUAUGUAUUUUAUACAUCCUAACAUUUUAUUUCUCCUACAAGGAUGAGGAGGAGCUCAACGCAGACCUUGCAAUGCAAAUCAUGAAGAUUGCUAUCAUUGGUGAUGGGCCUGCAACCAUCAUCGUUGAGGGAUCCAAGAUCCUGGAGAGGAUUGAUGUUGCCAGAUCCUGUGCUUUGAUGAUGGGAGUAAUCUACGCUCUGAACCUUACCUAUCCCAAGCAGCUGAAAUUUACCUUUGAGGUAUUUCAAAAGCUAUGCCUUGAGCUUGAUGGACAAAAAGCCAGCUCUAAAGUAAUGAAUCUUAAGUUUGGUAUUUUCUAAGGCAGACUUGAUAGACCAUUCGUGAGUGAGUUUCACAAAAACCUUAUUCCUGCAUUUCUGGCACUACAUCAAUGUGUUUUACUAAAUUUUAAAGUGCUGUUCUUAAGUCUUCUGAGUUAAUGUUUUGCCGUGUCUUAAAUGCUGUUAUUUGCACAUUUUUAAGGAAUGCGUUUAAUUUCUCCCAUGACCUGUGUUCUGAGGGUACUGGUGUGUUUUAAAGUUUGUGUAAUGCCCUCUUUAGCUGGCCUUAAUCUUGAGGGUGAAAAGUCAAAUAUAGAAGAGAAUCAAGAAUACUUUGUAAGAGUGCUGACAAAGUUGAAUGAAAGAAGCUUUGCUCAUUUUAUGUUUAAAUUAGUGCAUUUAAUGUCUGCCUGUCAUCUUUUGUUUUGAUUCACUGUCACAUGUUAAAGUAAAAAAAAAAAAGAGGAUUCAAGUAGUAGCUUGUAUUACAAUUUUAAUACACAGUUCCUUAAGUUUCAGCGGGCAAUUUGUGUUCUAGGAAACGGAAGCCCACAAAUCUUGCACUUCACACGCACGUUAAAGAAUUGUGAUGUUUGUUAUUGUAAUUAAAUGGGUCUAACUCAUUUGAAUACAUCUGUCUGAAUUUCUAUUCUUUCUGAGCACCAGGUACGAGUCCCUUAGCUGAUGUCCAGGUAUUUGGCAUCACAUCUGCCGCAUUCAAACAAAUACACACAACAUCCAUUUCUUUUUCUGAAGGUCAUGACACAAGAGCACACACAGCGCAUGUUAAGGCUGACCUUCGUUUGGGGAAAAAAGUGAUCGACAAGUUUCUAAGGUCUUAGAACCUUGACUUCUUUGUGGGCAGGCACCACCAUGCAUGAGCCUGCCCACGCGGUAGUCAUGGUUAUAAGACACAGCUUUUGAUCAAGGUUGUAUUUUGGAGCGACUUAGCCUGCUGGGAAACAGGUAAAUGCCCUUAUAGAAUCUCCUGUAGGACCAAAAAAUUACUACACUGUAACCAAAAUAUCAUAUUUGACCAACAUAAAUACUAUUUAUGCCGACAGUUAAGUUCAUUUUAAUUAUAAAUGUGUUUUAUUUUGAUCAAAAAGUUACUUCACCAUACAUAAAUAUAAUCUUGGAUCAACUUAAAUUCCUGUGUAUUUGUUGACAAUUAUUAAGUUCAUGUUACUCAGAAUGUGUUUUUUUUUGUGGCCAAAAAGUAACUUCACUAUACAUAAAAUUCACGUUGGAUCAACUUAAAUUUUUGUGUUCUAGUCGAAAAUUAUUAAGUUAAUUUUACUUAAGAAUGUUUUUAAUUGUGGCCAAAAAAGCUACUUCACCAUACUCAAAAAUAUUGCUUUGAAUUAAUGCUAUUCUGCCAGAAGUUGGCUUAACUCAAAAAUUCUAGUGGAAAACGUUAACAUGCUUUUUUUAUUUGAACCAAUGUUUUAUUUAUUAGAGUGUA